rfam:Jeotgalibaca sp. PTS2502, complete genome.
UCUCAUUUAAACGAUGUAUUCCCUAACCUCUAAUACAUCCUUGUAGCUCCAUAGCUACGCCAGUGUGAAUAAACGUCCUCAAAAAAACA